CUUUAACAAUCUGGAACAAGCUGAAAAUUGAAACAUGACGGCUGAAACUUGUCCCCCGUAGCAGUUUGGGAUGAGGAGUAACCUGUCAUAGAGUCUCUCAAAUGUAGCAAUACGAUGAUGUCGAAAGACACCUUCGG
rfam:Serratia odorifera DSM 4582 genomic scaffold SCAFFOLD6, whole genome shotgun sequence.